UACAGAGGUCUCAAGCGUUGUUCGGAUUCAUUGGGCGUAAAGGGCGCGUAGGCUGCGGGGUAAGUCGGGUGUGAAAUCUCAGAGCUCAACUCUGAAACUGCACUCGAUACUGCUUUGCUUGAGGACUGGAGAGGAGAUUGGAAUUCACGGUGUAGCAGUGAAAUGCGUAGAUAUCGUGAGGAAGACCAGUGGCGAGGGCGGAUCUCUGGACAGUUCCUGACGCUGAGGCGCGAAAGCGUGGGGAGCAAACGGG
rnacentral:rRNA from 1 species